rnacentral:rRNA from 1 species
UACAGAGGGGGCGAGCGUUGUUCGGAAUUACUGGGCGUAAAGGGCGCGUAGGCGGCCCGCUAAGUCGAACGUGAAAUCCCCAGGCUCAACCUGGGAACUGCGUCCGAUACUGGCAGGCUUGAAUCCGGGAGAGGGAUGUGGAAUUCCAGGUGCAGCGGUGAAAUGCGUAGAUAUCUGGAGGAACACCGGUGGCGAAGGCGGCAUCCUGGACCGGUAUUGACGCUGAGGCGCGAAAGCUAGGGGAGCAAACGGG